AGCGGGGUUAGAUAAAAGUAAGAAUUCGCCGCCGUACGUUUUUUACGCUUUUCACCUGCUGCGCUACGCUCAGUUUAUACGGUGGCAAGUCUCAAAAGCGGAGCGGAAAUUCGGAAUCUGGGUUAAACACACAUCGUCAUCGUAAUCAUCAGUCUCCUUGGCCUUUCUUCAGAUUUUUUCAUUUUGUUCUUAUUUUUUAUUUUCUCUCAUUUUUCGGUUUUUUGCGCUUGUAUAAUAGUGACGUACACAAGCCCGGAUUGUCGUAGAAAUCGCGGCAGAAACUAUUCUCUUACUUUCUUUUUAUUUUUCAUCGACCACGUGACCGUGAUUUACCAUAAUCACGAU
rnacentral:misc_RNA from 1 species